rnacentral:lncRNA from 1 species
UGAGCCACCAUCGGACGCAGGGUAAGUUUUUUUUUGUUUUUUUUUUCUCUCUUUAAGGUGCUCAUUGAUUCAUUCCUUGUUCUAGUUUUCUGUCCAAAAUCCCAAUAGAAACACAACACACCCUGAGUAGUAUGAUACGGGCCCGGCCUUGAGAAUUUGAGGGCUUAGGCAAGCAUUUGAAGUGGAGGCCCAGAAUUCUCUAAUUUUUUUCAAUAUAAAAUGAGUAUAAAAGAUAAAAACAUUUAAUUAGAUAACUAGACUCACUAAAAAAAAUAAAAAACACAGCUUAUGUUUUUAGACCUAGAUCUAAAAGAAUAUUAUGUCUUCAUUCUUCCACAAGGCCGGGUUGGUAUUUUACUUCUUUUGAUCAAAGGUGACUUUCAUUACAAACAACAAACUUUAUAACACAGGCCCAAAAACAGAACAAAAAAAAACCACACAAACAAACGGCAGUGGGUCAACCAAACAAACCAAAAGAAGCCCAACCAAAAGUUGAGUCCCAAACAAAAAGAACGCCAAAAACAAGUGAUACAUCCAAUAUUACUGACUUUAGUGAACGUUACUCCAUGAAAACUAGGUUCAGAUGCCAUUGAAGCCAGCAAAUGAUAACACCCAAUAAGAGUCCUCCUCCUCCUCUUCUUUUCUUCUUUACUGUAUCAAUAAAAUAAUAAUCGAUAUCAUUAAAAAAAAAACUAUUUUUAAUCUCUAUUUAUUGUAUCAAUAAAAUAAUAAUAGAUAUCAUAAAAAAAACCUAUGCAAUCGGUGUUAAUCUGCAUAGACAUAUACGAGAUAUUACCUCAGUAUUUCAGUCAAGAAGAAAAUCCAUGCUACUAGUCGUGUUAACUAGAAACUCGUACAAAAUCGAUCAGUCGAGUUGGAAACAUUUUGGUCAGCUCGUUCUCGAUUUCCUCUUCAGGCUGCAUAUGAAUCAAAUAAUAUGAUAAUAUAAAUAGGAAACUUUAUUCUAAUCCUUAGCAAAGAAAACUUUUAGACUAAAACUAUAAAAUCAAAAUUUAAUUUUAAUACCUUGACACAUUAAUCACCUCAUUUAUUAAUUAUAUUCUAUUGUUUUAAUUAUUUCUCUUUUGCCACUCUAUACUAUAGUUUGGUGAUAUUCCUCUUCACUUGGAAGUGAAAGGUCUUAGGUUCGAAUCUCGUGAAUGACGAAUUCGAUACUAAAUUAGGUUGUCCAUUGUGUGGCUUAGCCGAACUCUUCCUCCCCUUAGUGCAAAAAUAUCGAUGUACUCAAAAAAUUGUUUCUCUUUUUUCUUCCUAAUUUUAAUGUAUUAAUUAUAUUUAAUUAUAAUUAUUAUUUUCAUUUCAUUCAUCAUAAUAUAUUUUGUUGUAAACAUUUAGGUAAACUAAUUUUUGUUAUACAAUAUAUUUCAAUAUACUUUGUCUUCUUUAUUUAGGUACAUUAAUUCAUUUAAUAUAUUUUAGUACAUCAAUUUUGGUACAACACAUUUAGGUACAUUAAUUCAAUAUAAUACAUUUCGGUGCAUAUAUUUCGGUACAUACAUUUUAGUAUAUACAUUUCGGUACAAUUAGGUACAUUAAUUCAAGAUGAUACAUUUCGGUAUUAACAUUUAGGUACAUUAAUUGAGUUUUUCAAGUUUGAAGAAUGUUAAAUAAAAUUAAUAAAUUAAAAAAAAACUUUUUUGAUAAAAAAAAAAAUAAAUGUGUAUAUUAACAAAUUCAAAUAUUCUAAUGGAAGACAUUGGAUAAAAUACACAUUAAAUAAUUUGAAUUAAGAACACAUCAAAGGACUAUAAUCAAUAAGUAAUUUAACACCAGGUUUUUAUUUAAUUUCAAUAUUUUUCAAGGAUUAAAGCUAAAAACCCCUAAUAUAAAAACAAAAAAAUUAUAACAUAUGAUUUAGAUCACUUAAUUUCUACUUUUCUAGUAUUAGUAGUAUUAAUCAGUAAUACACCUUGACAAGCAGAACAGAAGCAUACCAUGCGUGUUUUCGAAUGCUGAUAGAUGUGAUUAGCGGCAUUCUUUGAGAAAUGCAAGACACCCACGACGGUAUUUUUGUAUCCCGUUCCCUGCUGCGGCCCAUAAUUAAGCAGCGACUUGAAAGCGUCUUUAUAAAUAGAUUGUUGGAUCUGUGAAUCAAAGUUAACCACUGUUGUGUCGAACUUUUCAUACUCUCGUUCCCAAGUUUUCCUUCUGUUAUCAUUCAAGUGAAGUAUAGCUCGGAUUGGAAAACGAAAUCGUUCGGUAGUUGAUUGAAGCAGAGGAUGAUGGAACAACUUUUUGAAUGUUAUCCUGUUUUUUUAAUUGAAGUAAAAAUAAAUGAAGUCAUUACUACUAUUAAGAAAAGAAAGAUAUUUAAAAAUUUCGUAAAUACUAAUAAACUAAAUCCUUACUUCCUGUUCUUGACCAUCUCGAUGAAAUGUGUUAGCUCUGAUUCUUCCGGGUUAUUUCUAGGACGGAGCAUGUCGCCAAUUAAACGGAUGAAUUCUUCUCGGAAUGUCACUGGCCAAUUUGGUAAAGAUUUUACCUUUGCUUCUCCACUUGUUAGAAAGAUACAUUUCGGAUCCAAGGAGCCACGAUCAUUGUCACGUCCGUACAAUUCUUGUAAAACAAACCUUGAGAAUAAAAAUAACAAUUAGAUGAUAUUCAUUACCUAUACAAUAAUCAUAAUCUAAUUAAGAUAUCAAAUUAGUGGUUGAAUCACUCACCUGGUUAUGUUCCGGCACUUAACACUGAGACGAUCGCCAUCCCAUAUAGAUUCCAGACCAUCUCUCUGUAGAAUAGAGUCUAAAGAUAACAUACCCUGCUGUGAAAUUAAAGCACAACAUCCACCGUUACUUCAUUUCAUGUAAACUAAAACUACUGAACAAUGGAGACUGGUGUUUGAACAUGAAGAACAAUAAACAACUAUAUGGACUUCUCAAAAAAAUAAAAAUAUAUGGCAACCACAGGAUGUGGUCAAUCAGAUAAAAAUAUUAAUAUAACUUUGACGAAAUGUAUAUAAUUCAUACUGAGUGAUCUCGCGCGCAGAGAGUUGAUUAAAUUUAUCACCCAAGAGGCAAGAGCCCCUUGUUCAUCAGUCAGCCUUUUAUACAUUAUUUCACCUCAUUUAUUAAUUAUAUUUUAAUGUUUUAAUUAAGUAAAUUUAGUAAAAAAUCAAUAAAAACUUUACUCUUUAAAUAUUCUUAUCUUCAUCAGGAAUGUUACUUGAGUUUCAAGCCCAUAUAAAUAGUUAUGAAAUUACUUUUUUGCCCCAAAUUAAAUCAUAAAAAAGUCCAUGAUUAUGGAAAUGGAUCCUCUCUGGAUCCUUAUGCUAGGGAUCCCUACAUCUCAGCCGUUCAUCUUAUAUUGUACGGCUAGUUUUCGUCAGUUACUAUUUGUGUUUAAUUUUAAAUAAUAAAAAUUAAAUAAUUUCUAACCGCACGAUACACGAUGAACCGUUGAGAUGCGAGGAUCCCUAGGAUUCCCACAUAAUGGAUCCAAAGAGGAUCCAUUUCCCAUGAUCAUCUCUCCCAAAAAUGCUUCUUUUAUGCUCGUGAAGAUAACUCAGAUCUCUCUCUCUCUCUCUCAUUGAUGAAUCAAUACAUAUUUUCUUAUGUGUCACUGUUGUUUAAUAUUUUCUCAUUUAGGCACAUUUAUAGAAUAUAAUUGAAGAAAGUUAAAUAAAAUACAUUAAUAAAUUAACUUCUUUAAUGGGGAACAUUGAAUAAAACACAUUAGAUAAUAAAAUAAAAAUAGAAUAUGAAUAUGAAUUAAAGUACACAUCUAUGGACUAUAAUCAAUAUGUAAUCUAACAAUAGAUUAUUUUAUUAAAUUGCAAUCUUUUUAAGUGCUAAAGUUCAAAAACCCCUUUUUUUCUCUUAUAAUGUGUAAUAACAAUGUUGAAUAUUUACGUACAAUUGCAUUAUUUAUUGUUAGAUAAAUAUUUACGUACAAUUGCAUUAAUUAUUCUUAAAGAGUAAUUACAUUUUAUCUCCUCAGAUUUGGAUGCAAUUAUAACCUUAUACAUGUUUAAAACAUUUCAACCCUAUAUAUUUUGUUAUUAUUUCAAGGGAUGUGCUAUCCACACAUCAUUUUUUACUUCUCACACACCUUUUAUUAAUUUAUGUCAUUUGAUCUUAUUCAAUUCAUCUAAUUCGACGGUCGAAAAUUAAAAAUGUAUGUUAGAAGUAAAAAAUGAUGUGUGGAUAUCACAUCUUUAUUUCAAUUGCAAGUCAUCAAUGGAUUAAACAUUGAUUGGGCCGAAAUGUAAAUUCCAGAUCCAGACAAGGCGACAAAGAUCUUUUUAAGUACGAUGGCUUCCUUGCGUCAACUACAGUUCACAUGAAAGGACGUUGAAGUCUCACAUCUCGAACAACAUAACAUUCUUUACAAAUCUUUACACGUAUUUAUAUUCUACGCUCCUUUUGACCACUGAGACUUGUUCUCCACGGAAUUGUACAUUCUAUAGAGCACUUUGGAUGGACUUGCAAUGCAAGUAGGGUAUCCACCGACGGUAUAAAUGUGGAGGAACAUAAAACAUUUUCUUUAACAAGAAACAGAUUGAAAAAACACACACAACAGAAACAGAUUAAGAGUUACAAAACUUACAAACGCUUUAAAUGCGGCCCUAUGAGAAGCCAUUUCAUAGAUACAGCAUCCUGGACGAAAUAUGUUUAGUACAAUACAUAUUGCAGUUAAAGAAGAACAAUAAUCAAUGACGAAAAAUUCGCACAUACUAGGUGCUUACCCAAUGACCAAAUAUCUGAUUUUGAACCAUAAGGUAUAUCAGCAAGAAGCUCAGGACAUAUAGCUAGGAGUUCCGACAACCUGGAUCAAGAGCUAAUGAUUCUUACUAUAUAUAGAUAACAUACUCACAUUUUAAAAAUUUUUUUAGUCGAGCAAUAGCGUUAGUAAGUUAGAUGUCAGAUUAGCCACUAAUAGGGUUCGAACUCACGUCAUCAUGUAAGAACACUACACAUUUCCACUACUGUGGUAAAUUUUUCUCUUUGAUCAACAAGAAUAACCAUGACUAAGACUUGUUCUCCUCUCCGCGAUUAAUGCUUGUUGCUUAAAAUAAUUGCCAUGAAUCCACAAUUGGAAGCCCAGCAAUAAAAAUCUCUUUGGUUGUAGUAGUGGGCACGAAAAUCUCAUCGCCGCCACUAAAUUUGUCGGUCAACUGUUACAUCUCAUCGAUCUACCACUGAAUUUCAUUAUAUUAAUCCAUGCUUAAUCUCAUCAAUUCUUGGCUGGACAAGCCGCUGUCAUUCGAGUUCAUAAUAGCAAUGAGAGAUCAAGAGGGUAGGGUGUUGUUGUUUGAAUUCGCAUACAGAAGGAGAAAGAAUGGAAAAAUUGAAAUUAGUUUAUUUUCAAUAUUGAAAUUAGUUUAUUUUCAAUUCAGGUCUUGUUUUUGGAACGUGCAAGUUGAUUUUUUGGAAUGGAGGAAGAAAGGUAGAUUGGAUUUCGACAUGUUUUAAUUGAAGCCCAAAUUAGAUACUGCAUAAAAACAGAACCAGGAAACGGACACUGCAUUGCAGUGUCUGAAGCAGGUAUAUUAAUUUACAAUAACAACAACAAAGCAUUUUCCCACUAAAUGGGAAAAAUGUUGGUAUAUUAAUUCAAUAUAAUAUAUUUUGAUAUAGAAAUUUAGAUACAUCAAUUCAUUUUAUUAUAUUUUCGAUACACUUAUGUAUUUACAUAUUUUUCUUAUGUGUCAAUGCAGUUUAAUAUUUUCUCAUUUAGGCACAUUUAUAAAACAUAAUUGAAGAAAGUUAAAUAAAAUUAAUAAAUUCAAAUGUGUAUAUUAAUAUGUUUAUACCAUAUUUAGGGUCUCGUAUUUAGACCUCGUAUAAAUACUCGAGGGACUUAAAUGUAAUUAUGUAAUAAAGGAAGGGGCAAAUAUGUAAUUAGGGGAGGAGCCCUUAUUCUAUAAAAGGGCCUCCUGACCCUCACAAACCCUAAGCCUCUCCUAUCUAGAGCAAAGCUUUCACACUCUCUCCCUCAUAAAUACUCUCAGAGGAAUACAAUCAGUGUGGACGUAGCCCAAACCUUGGGGUGAACCACGAUACAUUUUGUGUUAUUUACAUUUCAUGCAGAUUCACGGUCAGAUUUACGUUGUUCCAAGACCUCCGAUUUUGUGCAUCAACAUUUGGCGCCGUCUUUCAUUUUUUUCCAACCAUCGUAGAUCUGUAGAAACCCAAACCCAGAGCACAAACAUCUCAACGCUUUUAACAAGAUACCUCAUCCCAGCCAAUCAAAUGACUCCCCUCUUUCCUCUAUGUCACGGGAAACCUCACUAAAUGCGUGACAGAAGAGAGAGAGAGAGAGAGGUCAGGCGAAAAAGAGUGGUGGGUUUGGCCCAGAUGCAGGUUUCGAAUCUCUAUACAAGCUCCCAAGUUUUGAUUCAGUUGAUAACUUUCUGCAUAAAGUGGCUACAGUUAGGGGUAAACUAAGUUGAUGAUCAGCGGCCUGUUGAGGCUGCUGUUGCUGCCCUCGUUCUAGUCGUGCAGCACGAUUCUUGCGGCAGUGCCAAAAUUAUUCAGCAACUAGCUCACAACAGCCAGAACCCGAAUCCCACCUCAGGAUCCGACCUGGAAACCGGCAGAACCCCAACCUUCUCCGAAUUCUCCUUCGCCGGCCGAUCGAACCGCGACUCGAGCUCACUGACUUGGUCGUUCAGGCUCUGCAGGAACAGCUCACCCCGAGCCUCUUCUCCUUCGUCAAAUCAUCCCGUACGAAAGACGUUGGACUCAACAGCUCCAGCCGUCUCGGAGUGAGAACCCGACAGAGCAGAGAUAGCAGAGCCAUGGAAGCGUUGACGAAGAAUGAGCUGACAGUGGCGGUGGGGUUUGUUAUCUUCACAGUCGUGAUUUCUAGUGUCAGAGUCUGGACCGGUGAAAUCCACGGCAGAGUUGAUGUCUACGGCGACUCCGCCGUCGGACCCGAAGAUCAUGUUCUAGAAGGUGCUGAGUGGCAGAGACGAUGCCCGAGAGUGACAGGUGGGAUGCAUGCCUGGCGCGACCUAUCAGCAGCUUCCAUGAGCACUGCAGCCAUCUUGGGGGUGGUAGCUCAGGCGUUAAGUUCACUUAUAAUCACCCCAAUGGCUUUUCUAUCAUCGGCGGUGUCACUGCUGGAAUUUCGGGGUUCACUGGCCUCACCGGAUUUAUUGUUUACUUUUUUAUCAUGACCGUCACUUCAGUUGGAUUCAUUGCCAAGACGGAGUUUACAGUUCAUUCAUACUUUGAUAGCUGGAGCCAGAUUAGACUUAACGGCUUUCUGGGUGGGCUUUCGUCAUUCGUGCUUUUCUAGACAGUCGCAUAUGACAUUGUGCAUAUAUUCUGAGGGAUUAUCUGCUACCUCUCGAAUGUGGUGAGAACGUGCUCAAGCCAGGCCCUCAUACUUAAGAAAUCAGAGGUCCAGUGAAAAAAAAAAAGAAAAAAAAAAGCAAAAGUAAGAAAAAGAAAAAGACGGUUGACUAGAGAUAAUUGCGGGGAACUCGUGGACCAUGCAGAAAAGAAGAAAAGGAAAAGUAGAAAGGAAAAGAAAAAGUAAAAGCAAAAGCUCCUACAACCAUCUGUCAUACCCACCUUAUGCAGCAGUAUUUUUUUGAAUGAUGUAAUUUAUUUUUCUUAUCUUUUGGAGACAUCUGUAUAAACCCCAUUAGAGGGUAGUAAAAAAAAAAGCCCAAAAUAAAUGGGCUGGCAUGUUGUGGAGGGUGAAGGCCCAUAAGCCCAAAAUAGCACCAACCAAGUGACCAAAAGUACGCCUAGUACUCCACAAUUAUUCGGCAACCUGCCUCUAUUAUCAUCAACCAGGUGACCAAAAGUACGCCCAAUACUCUAAAAUUAUUCAGCAACCUGCCGCUAUUACCACCAACCAGGUGAUGAAAUGUACAACCCGUACUCCAAUAUCAUUUGGCAACUAGCCAUUCAUGCCACCAACCAGGUGAUGAAAUGUACAACCCGUACUCUCCUUCAUGCCACCAACCAGGUGAUUAAAAGUACGUCCAGUACUCCAAAUUAUACGUGAGCAUUACUCAUGUCAUUCAUACAUAAACAUUCAUGAGCAUCACUCAUGAAAAUCAUACAUAAACAUUCAUGACCAUCAUUCAUGUCAAACAUUCAUAAGCAUCACUCAUGUUAACAUUCAUGACCAUCACUCAUGACAACAUCCAUGAGCAUCACUCAUGUCAAUUAACAUAAACAUUCAUGAGCAUCACUCAUGUCAAACAGCUUCAAAAGCUUCAUUUACAGAGCUCUAGCUUCAAAAGCUUCAUUUACAAAAGCUCCAGCUUCGAAAGCUUCAUUUACAGAGCUCCAGCUCUAAAGCUUCACUUACAAAGCUUCAGUGCAGGGUAUACAAAUACCGCCUCCAAACAACUGCCACUUCGGCCCAUACAUGGAUUCAAUUUGAGUUUCCAGCUAAUAGACUCUAUUGACCGAAGACUUGGGAGCCUACAUUAUGUACCAUCUAUUGGGCCUUAACUAGGACUCAUGAAAAAUACUUGGGGGACUUAGCCCAUUUUUUAUGUAUUAAGGAGUGAGCUCUUAUUCUAUAAAAGGGACUCCCUCACUUUCAUUAGAGAGCACCCAUUAUUCAUGUACUGAGGAACGAUCCCUUAUUCUAUAAAAGGGACUCCCUCACCAUCAUUAGAGAGCAUCAACCCUAGCCCAUCAUUCAUGUAUUGAGGAGCGAGCCCUUAUUCUAUAAAAGGGACUCCCUCACCUUCAAACGCCGCAAGUCGAGCCAACCAAGGCAACAUAAGCCACGAGCCGAGCAGCCUCGCAGCGUGUGCUAUUUCUAGUUGAGCAUCAUUUCAGAUUGAGCACUGCCUCAUAUCGAGCAUCAGUUCAAGACAGCAUCUAGUUACUUCGGCCCACACAUGGACUAAAUUUCAAGUCUCCAACCAAAAGACUCUCUUGACUGAAGACGUGGGGGACUACUGUUUAUACCAUAUUUAGGGCCUCGUAUUUAGACCUCGUAUAAAUACUCGGGGGACUUAAAUGUAAUUAUGUAAUAAAGGAAGGGGAAAAUAUGUAAUUAGAGGAUGCGCCCUUAUUCAAUAAAAGGGCAUCCUCACCCUCACAAACCCUAAGCCUCUCCUAUCUAGAGCAAAGCUCUCACACUCUCUCCCUCACAAAUACUCUCAGAGAAAUACAAUCAGUGUGGACGUAGCCCAAACCUUGGGGUGAAUCACGAUACAUUUUGUGUUAUUUACAUUUCAUGCAGAUUCAUGGUCGGAUUUACGUUGUUCCAAGACAUCCGGUUUUGUGCAUUAACAUAAUAAAUUAAAAUAUUUAAUGGGGAACAUUGAAUAAAACACAUUAGAUAAUAAAAUAAAAAUAGAAUAUAAAUACGAAUUAAAGUACACAUCUAGGGAAUAUAAUCAAUAUUUAAUCUAACUCUGGAUUUUUUAUGACGACCCGUCCCUAAUUUUCCUAUGUAAUUUCUUCCCGCGUAUGUGUAUUGACGAUUAUGCCCUUAAUGGCAAUUGACGUGGACGUGCUUAUUUUAUUCCUUAAUUAUUUUCUCGCUCCGUAAUUAAAUUUCACGCGUUAUUUCGAGAUUACACGAUUUUAUCAGUGUAAGAAAUAUCUAUUUAGGAUGGGUUAUGAUUUCCUUUUACUGUAGGAAAUCCAAAAUAACCCUAUCUUGUCUUUUAUCCUAUCCAACCCGUGCACCCCAUUUCCCCUUUAUUACCACUCACCAAUCAACUCUCAUCACUCACCAACCAAUCCCAUCUCUCCCUCAUUUCUAUUCACCAAUCAAAAAUCAGAAAAGGAAAAGUAAAAGAUCUCUCUCUCUUUCCCGUAUGCUCUCCCUCUCUGCAAAUGCCUUGAAUGAACCCUAAACUUCCCAGAUCGCAAAAACUACACCAUUGUACUCCCCUCAUCUUCAUGAUCACAACCAUGUUCAUGAAACCCAGUUUGGACGAGUUUUGACUCGUUAACUCGGAAGGUCCGAACUUGGGCAAGUUGAGUUCAACAUUAUUUUGAACGAGUUAGGAUUUUUUGAAGCUUGGGAAGGCUUCUACACAACAUUCUAAGGGUCCUAGGCUUGUUUUAAAAGAAGGUCGACGUGAAAUGACCGAGUCUUGACGAGUUCACUUUUGGCCAGAACUUUCGAGGCAUUUUUCGACAACCUCUGUCCACUUUUUGGACCCCAAAUAGGUAUAACGCCAUUCUUCAUUUCAUAAGCUUCAAAUCCAUAUAAAGUGGGCUAAAAAUGGAUGAGAAAUGAAGAAGAUAUGUUGAUUUGAAAAUUUUCCAUAAACUAGCGAAAAUUGAGUUGUAGACGGCGGCUCGCCGGAGAAGGAGACAGAAUAUUCUGUCAGAGUUGACGGAAUAUUCCUAACGGCGUCAGGUAACGCCGUUAACUUCCGUUAGCUUUUAACGGAAUAUUCCGUGGAAUAUUCCAAACGGCGUCAGUCACACUGACGGCACGUGCCAGUGCGUGGGGGCGUGUCUGGGCUGUGCCAUAGCCGGCGAGUGGGGGCGCGUGCAUGGAAGAAAAUAUCGAUAAUAUCGGCGAUAUAAUCGGUUUUUCCCUAAACCGAUAUUUUAAGUGGUAUCCAAGGGGUUUUCGUCAAAAUUUCGCGAUAAUAUCGAUAAUAUUGCGAUAUUAUUGAUAUUAUCACGAAAUUUCAGAACUGUGCAAGUCGGAGACGAACGCCGGAGCUUCUACAGCUCCAGCCGACUGUAAAAGACCUCCUUCAUCAGAACCUUGAAGGGGAACUGCGGAUCGGCGGCGACUCGGGAUCUCCACCCAUUAAGAAACGUACCCAGAACUCCGAAUCCCGAAAUCGACGACGACGAGAGACAUUGAAAGGGUGGUGGUGUGGAGCACCCGAGCCGGUGAGAACACCAGAUCUCAAUGCACCUUCUCGAAAUACCGCAAUAAAACGCGGUUUGAAAACAGCUGCAUGCCGGAUCUGAAAGAUGAAGGAGGAUGAUCGCCGCUGGGGGUGGGUAGGAGGACAUGGCCAGAUCGGGAAAGGACGCAGGGGGAAAAGAAAAAACACAGGAGAAAGCAAAAAGAAAAACUGAAGAAGAAGAGAAAGAAGAAAAGACAGAGGAACGACGACAUGGGUUUUGAUAGACUCACCCACUACACUUGAUCCUCCUGAGCCCAGCGUCAUAGAUGAUGAUCAGUUGGGUGGGUGGGUGGGGGUGGUUUCUCAGGUGGGGGUACCGAGAUCUAGGGGAAGGGAGAGAUAACGGAGGAGGGCGGAGGGGGUCGGACAUGCGGAGAGUGAGCACUCGAUCCUCCCAAGCCCAGCGUCAUAGAUGACGAUCAGUUGGGUGGGUGGGUGGGGGUGGUUUCUUAGGUGGGGGUGCCGAGAUCUAGAGGAAUGGAGGGAUAACGGAGGAGGGCAGAGAGGGUCGGACAUGCGGAGAGUGAGGAAUUUGAGAGAAUAUGGAUGGAGAGAGAGAGAGGCGACUAAAAGGCAAAGUGGGAAUAAAAGGGAAAGAGUCUGACGGCAAUAGGGAUUUUGAUAGGUUAUGAAGAAAGAUGAUGGGUUGGGAUUUUUUGCAUUUUUGGGAAUUAAGUGGGACUCUUUCUUUGCAAUUUUCUUAAUGCCCAUUUUGCAUUUUGAAAAUAAAAUAAAAUAAAAUAUUGUUUUCAAUCACAAUUUUACAUAAUUUAAGAGCAUCUUCAAUAUAAAUUUUAAAUAAAACCCCCACAAACAUAUAAUUCUUAAAUAAAAAAAUAAAGGGUAAUAAGUCACUCAUGUAUCUUACCAUGCAAUGUAUAAAGUGUAAAAUAUUGUACUAAUUCAUUAUAUAUAAAUGAUUAUGGUGUGUUUAGACUUCUUUCAUUAAUUACUACAUAUUUUCUACACUCACAAUGUUUGUCAGCUCGCUAUAUAAUCAACUUGAUAAUGUUAAAUCCAUCAUGCAAUGCAUUUCCUUCCAAUUUUUUGUGAUAAACUAAUAGAUAAUUGACUAAAUAAACAUCCUGCAAAGUUUCAAUAAAAAUUUCCAAGUUUUUCUUACAAUUUCCGUGGUUUCCAUGUAAUUUUUAUCGAUAUCGAUAUUAUCCCGAUAUUUCCAUCGAUAUUUCCGUGUUUUCGGACUACCGAUAUUUCUGAUAUUACCGAUAUUUUCUUCCUUGGGCGCGUGAGCCAUCCAAAAAUUAUUUUAAAAUUAUGGGGAUGUUCGUGACGUCGAGUAGGUCACGAUGGUAUAUUUAAACCCUAGGUUUGAGCAAACUAUGGGGGUUUUAUUUAAGUUUAUGUAUAUGUGCUUUAAUUAAUUCGAUAUUAGUUAUUUCACAUAUAGGCGAAACUUAUCCCGAGGACUUACGAGGCCAAGCUAGGCUCGAGGAUUACGACCCAUCGACGUACUUGUGAGUGAGCAGUUUAUUUUUAUACCUAUACGUAUUUAUAGUUUCUAAAAUUACAUAGAUGCUUCACUUUACGUAUAUGUUGCCAAGUACUGGAUAAUUGUGAUAAAUGCUGCUAUAUGGUUGAGAUAUACUUGUCAUGACAUUCAUACAUAUAUGUAUACAUGCUCAUCCUGUUGCACCGGUGUUACUCGCCCCAGGGCCAGGGCCAGUCCUUCACGUGUAUGUUCAUAUCGCACUGUUCGCUCGUCUUGGAUCCAAGUUAGGUGCUAGUCCUGUCGGGUAGAUUUCAUUAGGCAAUCCGACUUGUAUGUGAUCGUGCUUCUGCACCAGCCUUCACGUGAUCGUAGUACUAGAGCGUAUUGAUUUCACCCAGUCCUGUUUGUGUCAGAUAUUGUCUACUCGAACUCGUGUGUCAGCUUAGAUGGAUGAGUACUUCAUUAUAUUGUUUAUCACAUGAUUAUACUACCGCAACAUUGAUUAUAUCAUGUUUUGGCAUACAUAUCAUCAUUUAUAUUUGGCUAGUAUUGUGGAUACAUACUUACUUACGAUGUACGUUCUCAUUAAAGGAAACUAUACUUGUUUUAUGGUGAGGGGUUAGUAUAUUCAAAACUAAAGGUUUUCGUAUAAGCUUUGCUUUGCUAACCCACUCAACUUUGUUUUUCGCCCCUCUAGGACCUAGAUAGCUGUUCCUUCGUGGCACUCGAGGAAUCUUGGUAGUUUAUGACUUUAGCUUCGGCUUUUGAUGUAUAAACUUAUCACCGUGUAAUAAGUGUACUUUAGUUGCUUGACUACUCUUCGGUAGUUGUUCUGUCUUUAAGCUCUGAAUAACUAUAGUGGGUCACUCCCACGAAUGUGCACUAUAUCACUAUCUUUUAUUUGAAUUAGUUCUAGUUCGAU